rnacentral:rRNA from 1 species
UUGUCCGGAGUUAUUGGGCUUAAAUCGCUCUUCCGUGGUUUAUUGCGUCUGAUGUGAAUAUUUUAGGCUCUAUUUCAAACCUGCAUUCUAUACGGGCAAACUGCAUUGUGGUAGGGGAAACUGGAAUUCCUGGUGUAGCGAUGGAAUGCCCAUAUAUCAAGAGGAAUACCAAUGGCGAGGGCAAAUCUC